rnacentral:ncRNA from 1 species
UAUGCCUGAGCAGGGCAACGCCAGAGGAAACUCUGGUGUUGGUCCAUAGCGGUCCUGACAUGCAAAUCGGUCAUCUGACCUGGGUAUA